UACGUAGGGGGCAAGCGUUUGUCCGGAAUUAUUGGGCGUAAAGAGCGUGUAGGCGGUCCGGUAAGUCAGCUGUGAAAGUCAAGGGCUCAACCCUUGAAAGCCGGUUGAUACUGUCGGGCUAGAGUCCGGAAGAGGCGAGUGGAAUUCCCGGUGUAGCGGUGAAAUGCGCAGAUAUCGGGAGGAACACCAAUGGCGAAGGCAGCUCGCUGGGACGGUACUGACGCUGAGACGCGAAAGCGGUGGGGAGCAAACAGG
rnacentral:rRNA from 1 species